rnacentral:rRNA from 1 species
CACGUAGGGGGCGAGCGUUGUCCGGAUUUAUUGGGCGUAAAGAGCUCGUAGGCGGUUCGGUAAGUCGGGUGUGAAACCUCCAGGCUCAACCUGGAGUCGCCACUCGAUACUGCUGUGACUAGAGUCCGGUAGGGGAGCGUGGAAUUCCUGGUGUAGCGGUGAAAUGCGCAGAUAUCAGGAGGAACACCAGCGGCGAAGGCGGCAUCCUGGACCAACACUGACACUGAGGAGCGAAAGCCAGGGGAGCAAACGGG